rnacentral:tRNA from 1 species
GCUAAUGUGGCUCAGUAGUAGAGCGUUGGUCUAUGCACCAAAGGGUCUAGGGUUCAAUUCCCAGUCAAGGGCA